rnacentral:rRNA from 2 species
GUCCUUUUGAAUUUAAUUUAAGGUUUAACCUGCCCACUGAAAUUUUUUGAAGGGCCGCAGUAAUUUGACUGUGCAAAGGUAGCAUAAUCAUUAGUUUUUUAAUUGAAAGCUUGUAUGAAGGGUUGGACGAGGUAAAUUCUGUCUCUAUUUAAUUUUUUGUAGAAUUUAAUUUUUAAGUUAAAAAGCUUAAAUUUUUUUAAAAGACGAGAAGACCCUAUAGAUCUUUAUAUUAGAAAUAUUAAUUUUAAUUAAGAAUAUUUAAUUUUUUAGUAUUUAUAAUAUUUUAUUGGGGUAAUAAAAAGAUUAAAAUAAUUCUUUUUUUAUUUUAACAUUUAUUUAUGAUUAAAUGAUCCAAUUUUAUUGAUUAAAAGAUUAAGUUACCUUAGGGAUAACAGCGUAAUUUUUUUAGAGAGUUCAUAUCGAUAAAAAAGUUUGCGACCUCGAUGUUGGAUUAAAAAUUAUCUUAGGUGCAGAAGUUUAAGAUUUUGGUCUGUUCGACCAUUAAAUUUUU